UACGUAGGGUGCAAGCGUUGUCCGGAAUUAUUGGGCGUAAAGAGCUCGUAGGCGGUCUGUUGCGUCGGCUGUGAAAACCCGGGGCUCAACCCCGGGCCUGCAGCCGAUACGGGCAGACUAGAGUUCGGCAGGGGAGACUGGAAUUCCUGGUGUAGCGGUGAAAUGCGCAGAUAUCAGGAGGAACACCGGUGGCGAAGGCGGGUCUCUGGGACGUGACUGACGCUGAGACGCGAAAGCGUGGGGAGCAAACAGG
rnacentral:rRNA from 1 species